CCCCUCUCAGGAUGGCACCUAGAGAGUUUUCAGUAUUCUACCACUUUCGGCUAUGGGUGGAAGAGUCAAGCAGAGGCAAACCCAUUCCAUUCCUAGCUUGGUCAGUGGCUAGAGAGUGGAAGGCAAUCUGCUAUGAGU